GUAGGUAGCACGUUUGCCUACCGGAGCCCCGGGCAGCGACUCUAAAGAACUGCCCCCCAAGUCGGCCCUCGUUGGCCGGCGACGCCAUCAGUCUGCGCUGGGAGAGCCCUCACCGGCCCGACCAGAAGCUCGCUCGCGAGUCCACAGAUCAAACGAUAGCGGCCGUCUUUGGCGGUUCAGAUAUGACCGGCCCCAGCCUUCGUCGGCUGGCGAAUUCGCGGAACCUGCGGAAGGAUCAUUACAGAGAGGGGUCUUCGGACCCCGGGGGCUCCGGCCCCCAACUCUUCACCCUUUGUAUACCUACCUUUGUUGCUUUGGCGGGCCUUGGGGUUCGCCCCAUGGCGGCUCCGGGCUUCGCUGCCCGGCCGUCCCGCGCCCGUCAGAGACCCAUCAAACUCGUUUUAUCAGUGUAGUCCGAGCAAGAACACAAUAGUAAAAAACUUUCAACAACGGAUCUCUUGGUUCUG
rnacentral:misc_RNA from 1 species